rnacentral:rRNA from 1 species
GGAGCACGCCGCGUGUAUGAUGAAGGUCUUCGGAUUGUAAAGUACUGUCUUUGGGGAAGAAUGAUGUGAUUUGAAAAUAUUGAGUGCGUAUGACGGUACCCCAUGAGGAAGCCCCGGCUAACUACUUGCCAGCAGCCGCGGUAAUACAUAAGGGGCAAGCGUUGUCCGGAAUUAUUGGGCGUAAAGGGCGCGUAAGCGGAUAGUUAACUCCGGUGUGAAAGAUCACGGCUCAACCCUGAGAGUGCAUCGGAAACUGGUUAUCUUGACGACAGGAGAGGAAAGUGGAAUUCCACUUGUAGCGGAGACAUGCGGAGAUAUGUGGAUGAACACCAGUGGCUAACGCGACUUUCUGGACUGUAACUGACGCUGAAGCGCUAAAGUCCUGCGGAGC